UACGAGAACCCCAAGCGUUAUCCGGAAUCAUUGGGCGUAAAGGGUGUGUAGGUGGUGUGGUUAGUCUUCUGUCAAAAUCUCGGGCUUAACCCGAGUCUUGCAGAGGAAACGGCCACACUCGAGGAUGCGAGAGGUGAAUGGAACUCAUGGAGUAGGGGGUAAGUAUCCGUUGAUAUCAUGGGGAACACCAAAAGCGAAGGCAAUUCACUGGGCGCCAUUCCCUGACACUGAAACA
rnacentral:rRNA from 1 species